rnacentral:miRNA from 1 species
AAAAGGGAGAGAAAGAAAUGC